UGGAGAGUUUGAUCCUGGCUCAGAUUGAACGCUGGCGGCAUGCCUUACACAUGCAAGUCGAACGGCAGCACGGGUGCUUGCACCUGGUGGCGAGUGGCGAACGGGUGAGUAAUACAUCGGAACAUGUCCUGUAGUGGGGGAUAGCCCGGCGAAAGCCGGAUUAAUACCGCAUACGAUCYACGGAUGAAAGCGGGGGACCUUCGGGCCUCGCGCUAUAGGGUUGGCCGAUGGCUGAUUAGCUAGUUGGUGGGGUAAAGGCCUACCAAGGCGACGAUCAGUAGCUGGUCUGAGAGGACGACCAGCCACACUGGGACUGAGACACGGCCCAGACUCCUACGGGAGGCAGCAGUGGGGAAUUUUGGACAAUGGGCGAAAGCCUGAUCCAGCAAUGCCGCGUGUGUGAAGAAGGCCUUCGGGUUGUAAAGCACUUUUGUCCGGAAAGAAAUCCCUGGCUCUAAUACAGUCGGGGGAUGACGGUACCGGAAGAAUAAGCACCGGCUAACUACGUGCCAGCAGCCGCGGUA
rnacentral:rRNA from 1 species